CUAAACUGAGGAAAGUCGGCCGAAACUGAUCGACUCGAGGAACGUAGAGGGAAGCGGAACUCUCGGAGUAGCGGUGAAAUGCGUAGAGACCGAGAGGUACCCCGAUGGUGAAGACAGCUUCCUGGGCGUUUCCUGACGCUGAAGCACUAAGGCCAGGGGAGCGAAGGGGAUUAGAUACCCCCGUAGUCCUGGCUUCAAACGAUGUGGGCUUGGUGUCGGCCCCCGACAGAGGGUCAUUGCCGGAGCUAACGUGUUAAGCCCACCGCCUGGGGAUUACGUCCGCAAGGAUGAAACUCAAGGAAAUUGACGGGGGCCCACACAACCGGUGGAGCACGUGGUUUAAUUCGAUGAUAAGCGAAGAACCUUACCAGGGCUUGACCUAGCGGUGGUAGGAUCCUGAAAGGGAAACGACCUCAAGCUUUGCUUGAGGAGCC
rnacentral:rRNA from 1 species